GGCCUCCCAAUGCUUACCACAGGCUGUGUUCUUUACACUGAGAAAGAGGAGGUACAGUAAAUGCUCCCCAUAUAUACCUCAAACCAGACCCUUUGCCUGGUCUGUAUUGUGAAUGGAGGGACAAAA